rnacentral:rRNA from 1 species
UGGGGAAUUUUGGACAAUGGGGGCAACCCUGAUCCAGCGACGCCGCGUGGAGGGCGAAGGUCUUCGGAUUGUAAACUCCUUUUGGAGGGGAUGAAUGCCCUGGUGAAAAACCAGGGGUGACAGUACUCUCUGAAUAAGCCACGGCUAACUACGUGCCAGCAGCCGCGGUAAUACGUAGGUGGCAAGCGAUACUCGGAAUCACUAGGCGUAAAGCGCAGGUAGGCGGUUUGAUAAGUCUCUUGUGAAAGCUCCCGGCUUAACUGGGAGAGGUCAAGGGAAACUGUCAGGCUAGAGUGUGGCAGAGGAAGCUAGAAUUCCCGGUGUAGCGGUGAAAUGCGUAGAUAUCGGGAGGAAUACCUAUGGCGAAAGCAGGCUUCUGGGCUAUCACUGACGCUGAUCUGCGAAAGCUAGGGGAGCAAAC